GUGUCAGCCGCCGCGGUAAUACGGAGGGUGCAAGCGUUAUCCGGAUUCACUGGGUUUAAAGGGAGCGUAGGCGGAACGAUAAGUCAGUGGUGAAAGCCCCGAGCUCAACUUGGGAAUUGCCAUUGAUACUGUUGUUCUUGAGUUCGGUUGAGGUAGGCGGAAUGUUACAUGUAGCGGUGAAAUGCUUAGAUAUGUAACAGAACACCGAUUGCGAAGGCAGCUUACCAAGCCGACACUGACGCUGAGGCUCGAAAGCGUGGGGAUCAAACAGGAUUAGAAACCCCAGUAGUCC
rnacentral:rRNA from 1 species